AACAUCGCGCACCUGCGGGAACCUGCGGAAGGAUCAUCAUUGAAUAACUUUUUCCCAAGCUUUUUAGGGGGAGGGGAAGGGGGGGAGGUUCUUCUCCCUUUUUCCCUUUUUCUGGCUUGGCAAACAACUUUAAUACCCAAAAAGAAUUUCAUCUUCGGCUUCAGCUUUUCAGCUUAUUUUAUUAGGCUGAUGACUGGAAAUGGAGAGGAAAAGGAAAGGGGGAAACCCUGGACCGGAAAU
rnacentral:misc_RNA from 1 species